GUACAGUCAGCGUCAAAUACUUUGUAGCAACCAAAGUAGCCAAAUAGUUCGGUACACCAUAUAUUUAGUAUGGUGUACCGAACUAUUUGGCCACUUUGACUGCUACAAAGUAUUUGACGCUGACUGUACACCGGUUUCUAUUUCUAUUUACAGAGGUACACUGAAGGUACAGUCACCAUCAUAUAUAUCGGAGCGGCCAAGGUACCCACGAAUCUCUGAACAUGCCUCUACUGUCAAGGGGUUAGUGCGUGUUUAGAUAUCUAUGAGUACACCGGCCACUCCGAUAUAUCUGAUGGCGACUGUACCAUAUAACUGCAUACUUUUAGUGCGGUAUAAUGCAAGAUUUCAUAUGUCCAACCGCAAUCCUGACGUCAGAAUGGCGGGUGGACUUUUUCUUAAAUAUCUCGUUUUGGGUUAGGUACACAGAAGGUACAAUAUGUUUAUAAAUACUUACUGCUGUGGCGCAGCAACCCGAAGUGGAUCUUGGCUUCCGACACCAAAGACCGCCAUGCUUCUCUGUCCAAAACCGUUUCCAUCUAGUCGACGGCGCCGAGUUCGCUAAGGUCUUUUUGCAUUUCGUCUCUCCAGCUGGACCUACCUAGGACGUCUAGACGGUCUUCGGCCAUUUGGAACUUCAGAGUACGCCCUCCAGGCUGCACGAUCCUCACCCAUCUGGACUACGUGCCCGAGUCAUCGGAGUCUGGCAGCGCGAAAAAUCCUAGGACCCACACGUGGAGCGGAUGGAACCUGGAGACUCCUCAGGAAUCAGGAGAUUGAAGAUCUGGUGUCCGAGCCGAACGUCAUACAUGUUUGUAAAUAUUUCUUUGAAAUUCGCUGAGGUCCACCCGCCAUCUAGACGCCAGAUGUCAAUGCCGUGUGCGACCGCCCUUAAAGCGGUGUAUUAUCUCUAGUCUCUCCAAUAUGUUCUCCUGGUGGGUCCACGGGGUUUAUUUUAAGUGUUAUCAUAAACAGUGUUCACCAGUGGGUCUACGGGUACCUAAUUAUUUUUACUAUGGGCCGACCAUGAACACGAUUCUAUUUUGAAAACGUUGCCCGCGUAGCUACUUCAGUCUUAGGUAUACCGCCUCUACACCAAGUUCACAAAAGAUUGAUAUUUUAGGUAACAACUCACAUUUCGCGAUAUUUGUCCAUAGUAAAUACUAAUUCAAAAACUACUGUAGGGCCUAAAAUCUUUUGUGAUAGUAAUGUAGAAAUAAAUACUGUUGACAGGCGGUCAACGGUAUUUAGUACAAUAAUUACACUAAAACAAUUCAUAUAGAAUACAGAACCUAUGAAUAAUAUAUACCUAGAGAAUCUAACUUUAAUGAAAUAUAAUUGAACAAAAGAAAUACAUUAGUACGAGUAGUACGGUCAACCUAUAUGUCUAUUUUUAAUAGUCUUAAUGUUCGUGUAUCGGUUCUGUAUUCUAUGGCUAUUAAUUAUGCUUUAUUUUUAAACUUUCUUUGACUACACACAAGUACACAUUAUAUUUGCUUUUUUCUUGAACUUUAUCUUGCCCAUGUUCGAUUCUUCUUAUGUCGAUGCAUCCUCAUUAUUGCCGUAUGGUUUCUGAAAAUACAAUAAAAGUUUUUGUAUUGUUUUCUAAUACCUAUGUUUGAAGUCGGUUUCCUAUUUUUAAGAGAAGUUUUUUUUUCAUGUAAGUACCGUCAAGUGGGGUAAAUUAGAGCAGAUGGGAUACCUAUCGACAAUUAUGUCAAUAAACAGUUUUACGUUCCAUCAAGAAUUGAGAGGUUGCCUCAAUUCCUCAUGUAACCCAUGAUGUAAGCUAGACCUUUACACAAAUAUUCCUUAAACCUCGUUAAGCAAGUAGCUUCUUUACAAACAUAACAAAGAAGACAAAUCGUCUAGCGUGAAAUACGCAUCGUUAAAGAGUUCUUUUCUGGUCCUGAUCAGAAGUUCCACUUCUUCAAAUAGCACUUUUUUGAAUGGCAAUGCUUGGUCUGUUGAUGAAACUAAAAAACGCCUAUAAGAUUUGGGGAGUUCCCUCAAUUCCUCGUGGUUUUGUCAAAAAUAGGACCAUCUUGGAACUAUAUACCCACUUUCAAACGAUAACUAAUUUUCAACAUUGGUUCAGAAAUGACGAAGAUCUUACUUAACAUAUAUACAAAAAAAAAAGUUUUUGAAGUCGGUUAAAAAGUAGUAUCUUUACAAUACUUCCGUCCUUUUACUAAGAAGGGAUGACUACUACAAUUUGCUUACUAAGUAAGUACUUACUUACUAUUAGUAUCAGAUUGGAGUCGACUCGAGAGUCGAUAAAAUGGGCGUCGCUACCGUUUCCGAGUGGGGGGAUUUCACCGCAUGAAAAAGAGACACAUAUAGUGAGUUCUUACUGUUCUACCAAACUACAUAAUAUAAAGUAGUCGUACUUUUUGAGUCAAAUUAGUUUCAUUCUAAAGGUGCGACGUAAUGGCCUGAAGCCCGCUCUUAACAUACCUAGUUCUACUAUUUGAUGGAUAUUGGUGUCAAUUUAUAAUACGUUUAAUUAUUCAUUGUCUUUACCUAAUUAUCUUUACCUUUUGCCUACCGGUUUGGCCUAGUGGUUAGUGACCCUGCCUAUGAAGCCGAUGGUCCCGAGUUUGAAUCGCGUAAGGGCAUUUCUUUGUGUGAUGAACACAAAUAUUUGUUCCUAAGGCAUGCGUGUUUUCUAUGUAUAUACGUAAAUAUAUAUUUAUCUAAAUAAGUAUGUUUAACGUCGCCUAGUACCCAUAGUACAAGCUUUGAUUACUUUGGGGCCAAUCUGUGUAAGAUUGUCCCUACAUAUUUAUUUAUUUAUUUAUUACCUAACGUAACCUACAUUUUAUUUCUGUAAGGGUAACAGUUUUGUUGGGAUAUAAAAUAAUUAAUGAUAAAAACUAAUACUUUUACCAGCAUUUUAACUUUACAUUCAUGUAUUCGAAACCUAUACAUUUAUGACAAUAACUUUUGCAAGACGAUAAGAUUUUUUAUUCACAAUAACUUGUCCGUAUUCGAACUGUCUGGCUACCUGGCUAGCCGUGGCUAGCUGUGUACCCGGCUUUUAUACUCUGAAACUGGAACUAGUGACAGAUAAGAGUCGAUUGAUGUUUUUUUUUAAGAUACUUAUACUUAAAUAAAAUUACUUACCUAUGUUUAAUUAAAAGAAAGACUACUUAUACAUAAUAAUCCUUACAGUUCUAACCUAUUUAACCUACCUACCUACUUUUAAUAAUAGCAGUUCGGUUCACUUAGUAGAAAUACCUGUUCUAAGAAUAAUGAAAAAGAAAGAAGAGUAAUAAAAAUAAAGAAUCUGGAAGUCGUUGAGGUGUUCCGUUCUUCAUCAGCAAUUCUACUUCAUCAAAUGUCACUUUAUUGAGUAAAAAUGCUUGUAAUAUUGAUGAAAAUCCUAAAAUGACUAUAUGUAUGCCUAUACAAUAUUAGAAGCUCCUUCGGUUUCUCGUAGAACCCAUCAUCAGAACUGAACAUUGAUAUAAAUACACCUUAAGAACGUUACUCGCUACAAGCUUAAUAAAGAAUACAAAACGCGUGCGUUGAAAAGUUCCGUUCUGGACAACAUCAGCAGUUCCACUUGAUCAAAUAUAACUUUUUUUUAAAUAAAACACCUAGAGAUAUUGAUGAAAAAAAAAACUAUAUGUAUUUCUAUAAGGUUUGAGGUGUCCAUAAUUAGACCUAGACACUAGACACUGGUGUCUAGCACAGAUAUUUCUUAAGAACCUUACUUUCUACAAACUUAAAAGUUCCGAGGAAUUGUUCGGAUUAAUCUCUGCCGCCUCUUUCCGUCACCGCUUUACGCUACAUCAUUUAUAUCUUCACCACUUAGAUGGUUGGCAAUCCUCAACUGUGCAUUUCUCUAGAAACUCCCUGCCUCAUUCAGCUAAACUAUGAAAUGAUCUGUCGCAUGCGGUAUUUCCGGCCCAAUACGAUCUUUAAAACUUUAAGGAAAGAGCGUAUUCCUAUCUUAAAUGCCGGCACCGCACUUACAAUCCCUAUGGUGUAACAGGUGUCCAUGGCCAGCGGUAAUCGCUUACCAUCAGUUGAUUUGUCUGCUAGUUUGCCUCUUAUAUCACAACAAACAAAAAAAGAAAAAAAUCUCGCGCGUUGAAGAUUUCCGUUUUAGUCAACAUCACUAGUUCCACUUCAUCAAAUGCCACUAAUGUGAAUAAAAAAAGCUAAAGAUAUUGAUGAAAAUCCAAAAUGACUAUAUGCCUAUAAGAAUUGAGGAGAAUGAGGAGUUCCCUCGCUUUCUCAUGAAACACAUCAUCAGAACUGUACUUCGACAAAAAUGUUUCUUGAGUACCUUACUCGCUACAAACUUAACAACGAAGUAAAAUUGCGCGCGUUGGAGUUCCGUUUUGAUCAACAUCAGUAGUUCCAUCAUCCAUCCAUCAUCAAAUGUCAUUUUUGUGAAUAAAACUUGAUAAUAUGUUGAUGAAAAUCCAAUAAGUACUAUAUAUAUACCUAUAACAUUUAAGAAAUUCCCUCGAUUCUUCAUGGGAACCAUCAUCAGACCUUUACCUUGACACAAAUGUUCCUAAAAACCUUAGUACUUAAAACUUACUUGCUACAAACUUAACUAAUAAAACAAAUCGCGCGCGAGUUGGCGAGUUCCAUUCUGGUCAACAUCAGCUGUUACACUUA